GACAGAGGGUGCAAACGUUGUUCGGAAUUACUGGGCGUAAAGCGCGUGUAGGCGGCCCAGCAAGUCGGAUGUGAAAGCCCUGGGCUUAACCUAGGAAGUGCAUUCGAAACUGCUGGGCUUGAGUUCUGGAGAGGAAGGCGGAAUUCUCGGUGUAGAGGUGAAAUUCGUAGAUAUCGAGAGGAACACCGGUGGCGAAGGCGGCCUUCUGGACAGUGACUGACGCUGAGACGCGAAAGCGUGGGGAGCAAACAGG
rnacentral:rRNA from 2 species